GAGGAAGGAGCUGCCCACUCCCUGAAUGAUGUGUGUGGUUUUGGGAAACCCGAGCCCUCCCCCUUCUCUUCACGAAGUGUUAUGUAUGAGAAUGAGGAGGAGAGGGAUGAGGAGCCUAUGGUUAAGAAGCUGACCUCUGAACCAGUCCUGGUGAAGGAGGACCACUUCAGUGUUCCUCUGCAAGAUAGCAGCUCUAACAGAGGGUCACUUCACUUCCCUGUGCCUAAAGUCAGAUACCUGGUCAAAGAGAUCUCUGUGCUGUGGCACCUAUAUGGAUGAAAGGACUUUAGCGGUGGAGCACUCUCCUCCUCACCAGCUCACAGUCAAGGGUGCACUCCUCACAGCUCUCUAUUACAGACUCCUUUAAGACAGGCUAGAAAAGGCGCUCAUGCUGG